AAAACUCACGGCGAUGGAGUUCGCCAUUAAAUGCGUAAAGCUGAUGACUCCUACAAAGUA
rnacentral:ncRNA from 2 species